GACGUAGGGUGCGAGCGUUGUCCGGAUUUAUUGGGCGUAAAGAGCUCGUAGGCGGCUCGUCGCGUCGGCUGUGAAAACCCGCGGCUUAACUGUGGGCUUGCAGCUGAUACGGGCGGGCUAGAGUUCGGUAGGGGAGACUGGAAUUCCUGGUGUAGCGGUGAAAUGCGCAGAUAUCAGGAGGAACACCGAUGGCGAAGGCAGGUCUCUGGGCCACUACUGACGCUGAGAAGCGAAAGCAUGGGGAGCGAACAGG
rnacentral:rRNA from 1 species